AUUGAACGCUGGCGGCAGGCCUAACACAUGCAAGUCGAGCGGAUGAAGGGAGCUUGCUCCUGGAUUCAGCGGCGGACGGGUGAGUAAUGCCUAGGAAUCUGCCUGGUAGUGGGGGAUAACGUCCGGAAACGGGCGCUAAUACCGCAUACGUCCUGAGGGAGAAAGUGGGGGAUCUUCGGACCUCACGCUAUCAGAUGAGCCUAGGUCGGAUUAGCUAGUUGGUGGGGUAAAGGCCUACCAAGGCGACGAUCCAUAACUGGUCUGAGAGGAUGAUCAGCCACACUGGAACUGAGACACGGUCCAGACUCCUACGGGAGGCAGCAGUGGGGAAUAUUGGACAAUGGGCGAAAGCCUGAUCCAGCCAUGCCGCGUGUGUGAAGAAGGUCUUCGGAUUGUAAAGCACUUUAAGUUGGGAGGAAGGGCAGUAAGUUAAUACCUUGCUGUUUUGACGUUACCAACAGAAUAAGCACCGGCUAACUUCGUG
rnacentral:rRNA from 1 species